GGCUCGUUGGUCUGGCGGGUAGGCUUCUCACUUUGGGUGCGAGAGGUCCUGGGUUCAAAUCCCAGAUGAGCCC
rnacentral:tRNA from 1 species